UACGUAGGGUGCGAGCGUUGUCCGGAAUUAUUGGGCGUAAAGGGCUCGUAGGCGGUUUGUCACGUCAGGAGUGAAAACUCGGGGCUCAACCCCGAGCCUGCUUCUGAUACGGGCAGACUAGAGGUAUGCAGGGGAGAACGGAAUUCCUGGUGUAGCGGUGAAAUGCGCAGAUAUCAGGAGGAACACCGGUGGCGAAGGCGGUUCUCUGGGCAUUACCUGACGCUGAGGAGCGAAAGCAUGGGGAGCGAACAGG
rnacentral:rRNA from 1 species